rnacentral:rRNA from 1 species
CAGUAGCCGCGGUAAUACGUAGGGUGCAAGCGUUAAUCGGAAUUACUGGGCGUAAAGCGUGCGCAGGCGGUUCGUUAAGACAGAUGUGAAAUCCCCGGGCUUAACCUGGGAACUGCAUUUGUGACUGGCGGGCUAGAGUAUGGCAGAGGGGGGUAGAAUUCCACGUGUAGCAGUGAAAUGCGUAGAGAUGUGGAGGAAUACCGAUGGCGAAGGCAGCCCCCUGGGCCAAUACUGACGCUCAUGCACGAAAGCGUGGGGAGCAAACAGGAUUAGAUACCCCUGUAGUCCCUGUCUCUUAUAC